rnacentral:pre_miRNA from 1 species
GUUGAGGGGAAUGUUGUCUGGCUCGAGGUCACGUAGGUGAUUUUGUAGAUUUUCCUGUUUUACGUUUAGAGUUGUAAGGAAAGUUUGGAUUCAACGCCUAAGUGACCUCGGACCAGGCUUCAUUCCCCUCAAC